UUUUCCUUUAUUUCCUCUGAUCCUCGCCGAUUCUCUCUUCCUCGCCGAAAACUCCUCUCUUCUUCUCUCGCGCUCGACGCCGGCCCUAACCGCCGGCCGACGGUUUCUUCUUCCCGAGCGCCGGCAGCCGGUUCAUAGCCGAGCCUUUCCUCCCGACGCCUCCCCAUGCCCUAGCCUUUCUCCCUCUCCGCAGCCGAGUGACGCCGGUCUCUCCGUUGUGCCCUAGCCGAAGUCGACGGCCACGGUUCCAUCUCUCUCCGGCGGCCAUUUUGUUGUUGUCUUUGCUAUGCCCUAGCGCCGGCAGCCGACCACAGUGCCCUAGCCUUCCUUCUACCACAGCCGCCACAGGGAGCAGUGAAGCCGCCUUUCCUCUUCUUCCUGUCCAAGCGCCGGUGACGUGCGAGCACAACCGAGCAGAGCCUUCACAUUUCUCUAGCGCCAUCCUCCUUCCCUCUGUGCUGCCGAGCCGACUCUUCCUCUGUUUCCCUCGCUGUGGAGAUUCCGGUGCCACCGCCGCCGACGGUCGAAUCUCUCUGCCGACGCCACUGCUCUCUCUGGACCGGAGUAGCCUGUGCCCUAGUUAUUUUCCCCUUGCCACGGCUACUGCCGCCGCAGAUCAGCAGGCACACUCCAGCAACGUUGGUGUUCUCUCAUGCCCUAAAUCCUCAGUUCUCUAUUCCAGUGAGUUACUGGAUGAAGGCACCUAGUUGGUUCCGGAUAUCACAGCAUUAAUAGUUGUUGCUGACCCUGCUUAAUUCCGACCAGCAGCACCCCAUUGUUCCAGAAAUCAAUAAGGCUGAGAAAUAAGGACUUUGACGCGAGACGAGUAUCUCGGAGUCAGACUUGGACCUUUUCAAUUUGGAGGCGGG